rnacentral:rRNA from 1 species
GACGAACCGUGCGAACGUUGUUCGGAAUCACUGGGCUUAAAGGGCGCGUAGGCGGGCGGUCAAGUCUGUGGUGAAAUCCUUCGGCUCAACCGGAGAAUAGCUGGAGAUACUGGCCGUCUCGAGGGGGGUAGGGGCAUGUGGAACUUCCGGUGGAGCGGUGAAAUGCGUAGAUAUCGGAAGGAACGCCGGCGGCGAAAGCGAUGCACUGGCUGGUUUCUGACGCUGAGGUGCGAAAGCCAGGGGAGCAAACGGG